rnacentral:rRNA from 1 species
AGCAGCCGCGGUAAUUCCAGCUCCAAUAGCGUAUAUUAAAGUUGUUGCAGUUAAAAAGCUCGUAGUUGAAUUUCGGGAUUGACGUGACGGUCGUGCCUUAAGGGGUAUGAACUGUUACAGUCAAUUUCUCACCUUCUGGAGAAAUAUGAUGUCCUUAAUUGGGUGUCAUAUGGAACCAGGACUUUUACCUUGAAAAAUUAGAGUGUUUAAAGCAAGCUUAUUGCUCGAAUACAUUAGCAUGGAAUAAUAAAAUAGGACGGCAUGAUUCUAUUUUGUUGGUUUCUAGGAUCACCGUAAUGAUUAAUAGGGAUAGUUGGGGGCAUUAGUAUUCAAUUGUCAGAGGUGAAAUUCUUGGAUUUAUUGAAGACUAACUACUGCGAAAGCAUUUGCCAAGGAUGUUUUCAUUAAUCAAGAACGAAAGUUAGGGGAUCGAAGACGAUCAGAUACCGUCGUAGUCUUAACCAUAAACUAUGCCGACUAGGAAUCAGACGAUGUUAAUUUUUAAUGACUCGUUUGG